rnacentral:rRNA from 1 species
GAUCUGGACGGGUGGUCCUUCAUUGAAGCGUACUACUUGGCUGGAUCUCACCUUCUGGUGAGCCAGUAUGCUCUUUACUGGGUGUGCUGGGGAACCAGGACUUUUACUUUGAAAAAAUUAGAGUGUUUAAAGCAGGCCUAUGCUUGAAUACAUUAGCAUGGAAUAAUAGAAUAGGACUUCAGUUCUAUUUUGUUGGUUUCUAGGACCGAAGUA